rnacentral:rRNA from 1 species
GUGAGGAAUUUUCCGCAAUGGGCGAAAGCCUGACGGAGCAAUGCCGCGUGAAGGAUGAAGGCCUAUGGGUUGUAAACUUCUUUUCUCAGAAAAGAAUUAUGACGGUAUCUGAGGAAUAAGCAUCGGCUAACUCUGUGCCAGUAGCCGCGGUAAGACAGAGGAUGCAAGCGUUAUCCGGAAUGAUUGGGCGUAAAGCGUCUGUAGGUUGUUUAAAAAGUAUUCUGUCAAAGAUUAGGGCUUAACCCUAGAUAGGCAGAAUAAACUUUUAAGCUAGAGUUUGGUAGAGGCAGAGGGAAUUCCCGGUGGAGCGGUGAAAUGCGUAGAUAUCGGGAGGAACACCAAAGGCGAAGGCACUCUGCUGGGCCAAUACUAACACUGAGAGACGAAAGCGAGGGGAGCAAAUGGGAUUAGAAACCCCAGUAGUCC